GCGCGGCGCAGGGGAUCCACCACCACCCCCAUCAACGACCCCACUACCUUCUUCCCCGAGCAGAGCAACGUCCGACGCUGCAAAGGACCCGACCACCUGCAACUUGCCGGCGCAGGCGUGGCUGUAUCUCCACGCGGCGCAGGCGGGCGUGCGCGACCGGAUCUUCGGCGAUCGGCUGUAUCUCCACGCAGGGUGGAUCUCUGGUGAGCGCUUUGCGCGUAGUGCUCCGAGCAGCAGCAUCCUCCAGUAAGCCCCAAACGCCGGCCGACUCCUAGUGUCCGCCUCCAUAGAGAAUGUCGCGUGCGAGCUCAUCCAACAGGGUGCAAGGUUUUCCCAGCUUCGACCAUGUCCCUCUCGUCCAGUGUCCUGAUUGCACCCGGUCAGAGCCAUUGGUUAGGCUAAGGACGAAAAAAUCAGAAAACGGCAACUACGGCAGAGAAUUCAUGAAGUGCGAAAGCAAAUCACAACCCGGCAAGAUCCUUAAGAAGUGCAACUUUUUUAUGUGGAUGGAUGAGUACAUCGAAUGGUUGCGCUUGAGUGGUAUGACUAAACAGACACGGUCCAGUUUUGAGCAAGAACAAGGUGCUACGCAAUUGAUGGUGACUAAUUUUGGAGAAGAGUUAUGUGGUGCAGAUAAAGGAGAUGUGUCUGUGAAGUUGGACAUUCUAGCAAUUGAAUUGAUGAAGAUAAAUGACAACCUCAACAAAAUUAUUUACAUUUUAGUCAUUUGUGCUUUUAUGAUAUUUAUUGGUUUACUUUUCAUUAUGAACCAAGGUGGUAAGCACUAGAAGUUGUCCAGUUGUAAGCUCUAAGCACUAUGGAUGAAAUAAGUUGUAAGCACUAUGGAUGAACUAUGAAUUUUUUUUGUGUCCA